AGUUCGAUUCUGGCUCAGAUUGAACGCUGGCGGGAUGCUUUACACAUGCAAGUCGAACGGCAGCACGGACUUCGGUCAGGUGGCGAGUAGUGAACGGGUGAGUAAUGUAUCGGAACGUGCCUAGUAGCGGGGGAUAACUACGCGAAAGCGUAGCUAAUACCGCACACAGCCCGCCCUUCGGGGAAAGCGGGGACCUUUCGGCCUCGCACUAUUAGAGCGGCCGAUAUCGGAUUAGCUAGUUGGUGGGGUAACGGCUCACCAAGGCGACGAUCCGUAGCUGGUUUGAGAGGACGACCAGCCACACUGGGACUGGAGAUUACCAGACCCUACGGGAGGGCAGUGGGGAAUUUUGGACACAAUGGGGAAACUUCUGAUCCAGCCAUCCCGCGUGUGCGAUGAAGGCCUUCGAAGUUAAAGCACUUUUGGCAGGAAAGAAACGGCAUCGGAUAAUACCCCGUGCAACUGACGGUACCUGCAGAAUAAGACCAGUUAACCACGUGCCACAGCAGCCGUACAGUAAUACGUAGGUGUUGCUAAUCGGAAUUACUGGCGCGUAAAAGCGGCAAGUGGUUCGGAAAGAAAGAUGUGAAAUCCCAGAGCUUAACUUUUUUGGGAACUGCAUUUUUUAACUACCGAGCUAGAGUGUGUCAGAGGGAGGUGGAAUUCCGCGUAGCAGGAAUGCGUGAUAUGCGAGUGGACACCGAUGCACAUAUACAGCCUCCUGGGGCCAGCACUAUCGCCUUGGCGCACGAAAGCGUGGGGAGAAGCAAACAUUAGGAUUAGAUACCCUGGUAGUCCACGCCCUAAACGAUGUCAACUAGCUGUUGGGGCUCUCGGGCCUGGUAGCGCAGCUAACGCGUGAAGCUGACCGCCUGGGGAGUACGGCUCUGCAAGAUUAAAACUCAAAGGAAUUGACGGGACCCGCACAAGCGGUGGAUGAUGUGGAUUAAUUCGAUGCAACGCGAAAAACUCACCUACCCUUGACAUACCUGAAUCCCGAAGAGAUUUGGGAGUGCUCGCAAGAGAACCGGAACACAGGUGCUGCAUGUUGUCACAACAAAGGAGAUGUUAAGCUGUCCCGCAAAAGGCAAACCUUUGUCAUUAGUUGCUACGAAAGGGCACUCUAAUGAGACUGCUCGGUGACAAACCGGAGGAAGGUGGGGAUGACGUCAAGUCCCCUGCUAGUUCUUGCGGGGUAGGGUCAGCACGUCAUACAAUGGUCGGGACAGAGGGUCGCCAACCCGCGAGGGGAGCUAAUCCCAGAAACCCGAUCGUAGUCCGGAUCGCAGUCUGCAACUCGACUGCGUGAAGUCGGAAUCGCUAUAGUAAUCGUGGAUCAGCAUGUCGCAGAAUACGUUCCCGUUCUUGUACACACCGCCCGUCACACCAUGGAGAAGUGGGUUUCAAACAGAAGUAGUUAGCCUAACCGUAAGGGAGGGCGAUUACCACGAGAUUCAUGACUGGGGUGAAGUCGGGUCAGCG
rnacentral:rRNA from 1 species